rnacentral:rRNA from 1 species
AUGGAUCGAGCGGGAAUCAAGGAAGAAUUUAACGCAUAUUUGCGUAACGCUGAUCUUGUGAGCUUCGAGGAAGAAAAGUGCCGCCAGUACCACUAUCUCACUAGUUCCUUUGUGAGGAGGUUUGAAUUUUCAUGUUCACGUAAUUCUCCAACUGUCCUGUUUGAUCUUUAUGAAAAAUCUUAUACUAUGGACUUAGAGGAUUUUACCACUGCUUGCAAACUUCCGCAAUGGGGUAGUGCUAGUGAACCCCGCAAAUCUGAAUUUAGAGAAUUUCUUGCUAGUAUAACUGUGGGGGAAUCUAGAGAUAUAGCACAAGUUACCAUAGGGAGCAUUCACUUUCCUGCUAUACAUUAUUUUGCUCUCUUCAUAGGUAGGUGCAUAAAUGGUAAGGAUGAAUCAUGUCACAUGUGUGUCCCUGACCUCAGUAUUCUUAGGAGUGCUGUGUUAGGAGACUAA